UACGUAGGGGGCUAGCGUUGUCCGGAAUCAUUGGGCGUAAAGCGCGCGUAGGCGGCCCGGUAAGUCCGCUGUGAAAGUCCAGGGCUCAACCCUGGAACGCCGGUGGAUACUGUCGGGCUAGAGUCCGGAAGAGGCGAGUGGAAUUCCUGGUGUAGCGGUGGAAUGCGCAGAUAUCAGGAGGAACACCGAUGGCGAAGGCAGCUCGCUGGGACGGUACUGACGCUGAGGCGCGAAAGCAUGGGGAGCGAACAGG
rnacentral:rRNA from 1 species